rnacentral:rRNA from 1 species
AGCAGUCGCCACGGUAAUACGAAGGGGGCUAGCGUUGUUCGGAAUCACUGGGCGUAAAGGGUGCGUAGGCGGGCGACUCAGUCAGGGGUGAAAUCCCGAGGCUCAACCUCGGAACUGCCUUUGAUACUGGUUGUCUUGAGUCCGGAAGAGGUGAGUGGAACUGCGAGUGUAGAGGUGAAAUUCGUAGAUAUUCGCAAGAACACCGGUGGCGAAGGCGGCUCACUGGUCCGGAACUGACGCUGAGGCACGACAGCGUGGGGAGCAAACAGGAUUAGAUACCCCGGUAGUCCCUGUCUCUUAUAC